UGGCGCACGGGUGCGUAACGCGUAUGCAACCUACCUUUAUCAGGGGGAUAGCCUCUCGAAAGAGAGAUUAACACCGCAUAAAAUCACAAGCUGGCAUCAGCAAAUGAUCAAAUAUUUAUAGGAUAAAGAUGGGCAUGCGUGACAUUAGCUAGUUGGUAAGGUAAUGGCUUACCAAGGCUACGAUGUCUAGGGGAUCUGAGAGGAUGACCCCCCACACUGGUACUGAGACACGGACCAGACUCCUACGGGAGGCAGCAGUAAGGAAUAUUGGUCAAUGGGGGCAACCCUGAACCAGCCAUGCCGCGUGCAGGAAGACGGCCCUCUGGGUUGUAAACUGCUUUUAUCCGGGAACAAACCCUUUUACGUGUAAGAGGCUGAAUGUACCGGAAGAAUAAGGAUCGGCUAACUCCGUGCCAACAGCCGCGGUAAUACGGAGGAUCCAAGCGUUAUCCGGAUUUAUUGGGUUUAAAGGGUGCGUAGGCGGCCCGUUAAGUCAGGGGUGAAAGACGGUGGCUCAACCAUCGCAGUGCCUUUGAUAC
rnacentral:rRNA from 1 species